rnacentral:tRNA from 1 species
GCCUGGUUGGCUUUGUCAGAAGAGCAUGAGACUUUUGAUCUUGGGGUUGUAAGUUCGAGACCCAUAUUAGGUG